rnacentral:rRNA from 1 species
GGAUGCGAUCAUACCAGCACUAACGCCCCGGAUCCCAUCAGAACUCCGAAGUUAAGCAUGCUUUGGCGAGAGUAGUACUAGGAUGCGUGACCUCCUGGGAAGUCCUCGUGUUGCAUCCCU